GUAAGCCGACAUUCAGCCAGUGCGGCCACGUCUUUCAGCGAACUCGCUGCUUCUCUAACGUUUCACGCAAAUAAAACGGUUAAAAAUACAUAAUCGCAACGUAAAACCUCCUUCUUAACACGUGUAUUUGUUAUUAUGAUAAUCUGUGACCUGAACUGUCAAAAAAGGCGUGAACGUGUUUUAGUUUUUAAUCUGUGACAUUUGAUCUGUCAAAAAGCGCGCGUAGAUGCAGGACAACGAUUGGUUCGCUUCUGCCCGGUCGUUAUGACAGCAAACGAUAAGUAACAAGUGACGUGUCACUUGAUAUUUCGAUCUGUCAAAAUGUGAAAGAGACAGAAGAUGAAGUUGGAGGGGGACGGAGCGAUCGCGUGCAUGUUCCAUUUCCAUAUCCUACUUGCGGCGGAAGUGCGUAACACGCGCACCGGCACUGACGUCACGCUGCCCGAGGACACCGGAAGUGGACCGUGGCGCCGCACGCCGGAACCGGAUGUCGGCGCACGAUAUCGCCUUACCGGGGAUUUCCACGGAAAAUCGAAACGUACGAAAAAUCUAGAUCUAAGAUCGCUCUCAAAUUAUCUCCUAUCUGUGAGGAGGUGGUGAAAAUUGUCCCAAGCUUGCAUUAGUGAUGGCAACCGGUUAAUGGUGGGAGGCUAACGGUGGCUAAAAAGGCAAUAUCAGGAGAUAACAUCGAUAGCCGUCGGAACAGUUCGGCAGUUCGGCACGUAAGUAGGCUGUGAAAAUGGCCGCCCGUAACGCUGUGCGUACAUACUAUGGUGAGUAGAAUGAUGCAUGUAGUAAAAGAAGAUAAUAAUUUGAUGGUUUUGUUUAAUUUUACAAAAUAAUUAAAAAUUGCUAGGACCUUCUGUGUUGAUAUAAAAAUAAAUAGUCAAAUUUUGAAUUUCCUUGGUAAUGUCCGAUUUUAGCCAAGUAAUUUACCAAUCAAAAAAAUAUAACAUCAUCAGCGACUGUGUUCCAAACUAUAUCGGUUGGUUUCUUGUCCAACCAGGGGCUGCUGUAUACCACUGCUUUACAUGGAGCGCCAGCCUUUCAGACC